AGAGAGAGACAUGCGCGCAUAUCAAUAAGCGGAGGAAAAGAAACUAACUAGGAUUCCCUCAGUAACGGCGAGUGAAGCGGGAAGAGCUCAAAUUUGAAAUCUUAAAGGUUUCCCUUGACGAAUUGUAGUUUAAAGAAGUGUUUUCUGUUGGAGUUUUGGUAAAAGUUACUUUGGAAUAGGACAUCAUAGAGGGUGAGAAUCCCGUAUUUGACCUUUACUUUCAACUUUGUGAUACACUUUCAAAGAGUCGGAUUGUUUGGGAAUGCAGUCCAAAAUGGGUGGUAAGUUUCAUCUAAAGCCUAAAUAUUGGCGAGAGACCGAUAGCGAACAAGUACCGUGAGGGAAAGAUGAAAAGAACUUUGAAAAGAGAGUUAAACAGUACGUGAAAUUGUCAAAAGGGAAGCGUUUGACACCAGUGUUGUUUUUCUGAAAAUCAAUUAAAGAACUGUUUAUGCUAAGUUGUUUAGACUUUAUCAGCUAACUGUUUAGUUUUGAGCUUUUCUUUAAUGCACUUUUCAGUUAACAAGUCAACAUCAAUUUCUUUUGCUGUAAAAAAGCUUGAGGAAGGUGGCUUGAGAUUCGUCUUAAGUGUUUAUAGCCUCUUGCCUAUGCAGUCGGAGAGAUUGAGGUCUGCAGCGUAGAUCCUUCGGGGCUAAGUGCAUUUGUGCUAAGUUAUAGCAUUUUAUAGACAACUUGUUGACUAUGAUUAGUCAUUGUAGCUUACUCGCUUAUGUUAUUUUACCUACGCUUAGGAUGUUGAUGUGAUACUGCGAGCA
rnacentral:rRNA from 1 species